GCUAAUACCGCAUAAUAGUAUUUGAUGCAUAUCAGAUACUUGAAAGGCGCAAUUGCGUCACUAGAAGAUGGCCCCGCGGUGCAUUAGCUAGUUGGUGAGGUAACGGCUCACCAAGGCAAUGAUGCAUAGCCGACCUGAGAGGGUGAUCGGCCACACUGGGACUGAGACACGGCCCAGACUCCUACGGGAGGCAGCAGUAGGGAAUCUUCGGCAAUGGACGCAAGUCUGACCGAGCAACGCCGCGUGAGUGAAGAAGGUUUUCGGAUCGUAAAACUCUGUUGUAAGAGAAGAACGUUGAUGAGAGUGGGAAGUUCAUCAAGUGACGGUAUCUUACCAGAAAGCCACGGCUAACUACGUGCCAGCAGCCGCGGUAAUACGUAGGUGGCAAGCGUUGUCCGGAUUUAUUGGGCGUAAAGCGAGCGCAGGCGGUUGAUUAAGUCUGAUGUGAAAGCCCCCGGCUCAACCGGGGAGGGUCAUUGGAAACUGGUCAACUUGAGUGCAGAAGAGGAGAGUGGAAUUCCAUGUGUAGCGGUGAAAUGCGUAGAUAUAUGGAGGAACACCAGUGGCGAAGGCGGCUCUCUGGUCUGUAACUGACGCUGAGGCUCGAAAGCGUGGGGAGCGAACAGGAUUAGAUACCCUGGU
rnacentral:rRNA from 1 species